rnacentral:rRNA from 1 species
CAUGGGCAGGUUGAAGGUUGGGUAACACUAACUGGAGGACCGAACCGACUAAUGUUGAAAAAUUAGCGGAUGACCUGUGGCUGGGGGUGAAAGGCCAAUCAAACCGGGAGAUAGCUGGUUCUCCCCGAAAGCUAUUUAGGUAGCGCCUCGUGAAUUCAUCUCCGGGGGUAGAGCACUGUUUCGGCUAGGGGGCCAUCCCGGCUUACCAACCCGAUGCAAACUGCGAAUACCGGAGAAUGUUAUCACGGGAGACACACGGCGGGUGCUAACGUCCGUCGUGAAGAGGGAAACAACCCAGACCGCCAGCUAAGGUCCCAAAGUCAUGGUUAAGUGGGAAACGAUGUGGGAAGGCCCAGACAGCCAGGAUGUUGGCUUAGAAGCAGCCAUCAUUUAAAGAAAGCGUAAUAGCUCACUGGUCGAGUCGGCCUGCGCGGAAGAUGUAACGGGGCUAAACCAUGCACCGAAGCUGCGGCAGCGACGCUUAUGCGUUGUUGGGUAGGGGAGCGUUCUGUAAGCCUGUGAAGGUGUGUCGUGAGGCAUGCUGGAGGUAUCAGAAGUGCGAAUGCUGACAUAAGUAACGAUAAAGCGGGUGAAAAGCCCGCUCGCCGGAAGACCAAGGGUUCCUGUCCAACGUUAAUCGGGGCAGGGUGAGUCGACCCCUAAGGCGAGGCCGA